rnacentral:rRNA from 1 species
CCUACGGGGGGCAGCAGUGGGGGAUAUUGCACAAUGGGGGGAACCCUGAUGCAGCGACGCCGCGUGGGUGAAGGAGUAUUUCGGUAUGUAAAGCCCUAUCGGCAGGGAAGAAUUUAGACGGUACCUGACUAAGAAGCCCCGGCUAACGACGUGCCAGCAGCCGCGGUAAUACGUAGGGGGCAAGCGUUAUCCGGAUUCACUGGGUGUAAAGGGAGCGUAGACGGCCAGGCAAGCCUGGAGUGAACGCCGGGGGCCUAACCCCGGAACUGCUCUGGAAACUGUCCGGCUGGAGGGCGGGAGGGGCAGGCGGAAUUCCUGGUGUAGGGGUAAAAUGCGUAGAGAUCAGGAGGAAGACCGGCGGCGAAGGCGACCUGCUGGACCACGACUGACGUUGAGGCUCGAAAGCGUGGGGAGCGAACAGGAUUAGAUACCCCUGUAGUC